GUUUUAAUAAUUUAAAUAAAAUAUUGGUCUUGUAAACCAAACUUAAGCUGAGCUUUUAAAACU
rnacentral:tRNA from 1 species